UAUAACCUUUAACGGCACAGGAAAAUUCUUUGUGUGUGUGUGUGUGUGUGUGUGUGUGUACAGUGGCUCAAGGUUGUCGUACUUUGGACUUGACUGGCAGAUUACAGACGGACGGUUAUGUGAUGUCGCGGAAAUCUCAUCGACCGACUUGGAGGUGAUCUGGGGGUGGAGGUGAAGAGUCUUUGAUAUGAAAAGGCUUGAAAACCUGUGCACACACUGUGUUCAUUGUAGAGUGAUUAGUUAAGUUCUGAUCAGUUAUAAAUGCUGGAUUCCCAACACGUGUCUGUUUUCAGUGUGUUACAAAGUGAGGAGUGUUGACACUUGAGUGUCACAGAGCGGUAGACAUGCCGGCCCGCUGUCUGUUCGUCCACCAGCCGCCACCUGCAGCAGCAGCCUCACAGCUUCCUCUGCCCGGCCACACCACUGUUUAUGUCUGGACUGCAGCCCUCAGCAGAGGCCAGCGGAGGAGGAUCUCUGAAAACAUCGCCACAGUCAGAAGUUAUUAUCUAUGUCAACCUGAGGAUGUUAUUAUUUCUGAGGGUGAGGUUGACAACUUCAGAGAUGGGAAGGAUUUUUCUACCUCAAAAUUGACUCCAAAGGAUGAUUUCCUGUGUCAUAAAGAGCCAGUCUGAUAUCAAA